rnacentral:rRNA from 1 species
CCUACGGGAGGCAGCAGUGAGGAAUAUUGGUCAAUGGGAGGUAUCCUGAACCAGCCAUGCCGCGUGCAGGACGAAGGCUCUACGAGUUGUAAACUGCUUUUGUACCGGGGUAAAAUGCUCUACGAGUAGGGUUUUGAAAGUACGGUACGAAUAAGGAUCGGCUAACUCCGUGCGAGCAGCCGCGGUAAUACGGAGGAUCCGAGCGUUAUCCGGGUUCAUUGGGGGUAAAGGGUGCGUAGGGUGUUUUAUAAGUUAGCGGUGAAAUACCGAUGCUCAACAUCGGGGCUGCCGCGAAUACUGUAGGACUAGAGGUCAGAUGCAGCAGGCGGAAUGUGUAGUGUAGCGGUGAAAUGCAGAGAUAUUA